rnacentral:rRNA from 1 species
GUACACGCUGUGACUAGCAUAUCAAUAAGCGGAGGAAAAGAAACUAACAAGGAUUCCCCUAGUAACGGCGAGUGAAGCGGGAAGAGCUCAAAUUUGAAAUCUUAAAGGGCUUCCCUUUACGAAUUGUAGUUUAAAGAAGUGUUUUCUGUUGAGGUUUUGGUAAAAGUUCUUUGGAAUAGGACAUCAUAGAGGGUGAGAAUCCCGUAUUUGACCUUUACUUUCAACUUUGUGAUACACUUUCAAAGAGUCGGAUUGUUUGGGAAUGCAGUCCAAAAUGGGUGGUAAAUUUCAUCUAAAGCUAAAUAUUGGCGAGAGACCGAUAGCGAACAAGUACCGUGAGGGAAAGAUGAAAAGAACUUUGAAAAGAGAGUUAAACAGUACGUGAAAUUGUCAAAAGGGAAGCGUUUGACACCAGUGUUGUUUUUCUGAAAAUCAAUUAAAGAACUGUUUAUGCUAAGUUGUUUAGACUUUAUCAGCUAACUGUUUAGUUUUGAGCUUUUCUUUAAUGCACUUUUCAGUUAACAAGUCAACAUCAAUUUCUUUUGCUGUAAAAAAGCUUGAGGAAGGUGGCUUGAGAUUCGUCUUAGGUGUUUAUAGCCUCUUGCCUAUGCAGUCGGAAAGAUUGAGGUCUGCAGCGUAGAUCCUUCGGGGCUAAAUGCAUUUGUGCUAAGUUAUAGCAUUUUAUAGACAACUUGUUGACUAUGAUUUGUCUUGUAGCUUACUCGCUUAUGUUAUUUUACCUACGCUUAGGAUGUUGAGUCGUAGAGCACGCAG